AGGUUCAGCUCAUCUCUCUGAUAAAAUUGGAACGAUACAAAGAAGAUUAGCAUGACCCAUGCGCAAGGAUGACACGCACAAAUCGAGAAAUGGUCCAAAUUUUU